rnacentral:rRNA from 1 species
GACGUAGGGCGCGAGCGUUGUCCGGAUUUAUUGGGCGUAAAGGGCGCGUAGGCGGCCUUGCAAGUGACGGGUGAAAUCCCUCGGCUUAACCGAGGAACUGCCUGUCAAACUGCAUGGCUUGAGACCGGGAGAGGUGAGUGGAAUUCCCAGUGUAGCGGUGAAAUGCGUAGAUAUUGGGAGGAACACCAGUGGCGAAGGCGGCUCACUGGACCGGUACUGACGCUGAGGCGCGAAAGCGUGGGUAGCAAACAGG